rnacentral:rRNA from 1 species
GACGAACGCUGGCGGCGUGCUUAACACAUGCAAGUCGAACGGUAAGGCCCUUCGGGGUACACGAGUGGCGAACGGGUGAGUAACACGUGGGUGAUCUGCCCUGCACUUCGGGAUAAGCCUGGGAAACUGGGUCUAAUACCGGAUAGGACCCUGGGAUGCAUGUCCUGGGGUGGAAAGCUUUUGCGGUGUGGGAUGGGCCCGCGGCCUAUCAGCUUGUUGGUGGGGUGAUGGCCUACCAAGGCGACGACGGGUAGCCGGCCUGUGAGGGUGACCGGCCAGACUGGGACUGGGAUACGGCCCAGACGCCUACGGGAGGCAGCAGUGGGGAAUAGUGCACAAGGGGCGCAAGCCUGAUGCAGCGACGCCGCGUGAGGGAUGACGGCCUUCGGGUUGUAAACCUCUUUCAGCACCGACGAAGCGCAAGUGACGGUAGGUGCAGAAGAAGGACCGGCCAACUACGUGCCAGCCGCCGCGGUAA